GUUAAGCACUUAUGGUGUGGAGCCGAAGGGAAACCGAGUCUGAAUAGGGCAACUAGUUGUAUAUUGUAGACCCGAAACCGAGUGACCUAUCCAUGGCCAGGAUGAAGCGGAAGUAAAAUUCCGUGGCGGGCCGAACCACGGUGGUGUUGAAAAACCAGGGGAAGAGCUGUGGGUAGCGGAGAAAUUCCAAUCGAACUCGGAGAUAGCUGGUUCCUCUCGAAAUAGCUUUAGGGCUAGCGUCGGGGAAUUGAGUAGUGGAGGUAGAGCACUGAAUGGGCUAGGGGCUGACAACAGUUACUGAACCCUAUCAAACUCCGAAUGCCAUAUACUUGUACCCCGGCAGUCAGACUACGAAUGAUAAGAUCCGUGGUCAAAAGGGAAACAGCCCAGACCAUCAGCUAAGGUCCCAAAGUGUAAGUUAAGUGGGAAAGGAUGUGGGAUUUCUAAGACAACUUGGAUGUUGGCUUAGAAGCAGCCACUCAUUUAAAGAGUGCGUAAUAGCUCACUAGUCGAGAGAUCCUGCGCCGAAGAUGUAACGGGGCUCAAACUUACCACCGAAGCUAUGGAUGUGUACUUUGUACACGUGGUAGAGGAGCUUUCUGUACAGGUUGAAGUCAUACCGUAAGGAGUGGUGGACAGUACAGAAGUGAGAAUGCUGGCAUAAGUAGCGAAAAACAAGUGAGAAUCUUGUUGACCGAAUAUCUAAGGUUUCCUGGGGAAGGCUCGUCCUCCCAGGGUUAGUCGGGACCUAAGCCGAGGCCGAAAGGCGUAGGCGAUGGACAACUGGUUGAUAUUCCAGUACCACCAUAAUGCGUUUGACAAAUGGGAUGACGCAGGAGGAUAGGAUGUGCGCACUAUUGGAUGUGCGUCUAAGCACUUAGGGUGUUAAGUAGGCAAAUCCGCUUAACAUUAAGCCUGAGGUGUGAUGGGGAGCCUAUUUUGGCGAAGUAUCUGAUUCCACGCUGCCAAGAAAAGUCUCUAUGGAGCAAAAUGGUGCCCGUACCGCAAACCGACACAGGUAGAUGAGGAGAGAAUCCUAAGGUCGUCGGAAGAAUUAUUGCUAAGGAACUCGGCAAAUUGACCCCGUAACUUAGGGAGAAGGGGGGCCUACGAGAGUAGGCCGCAGUGAAUAGGCUCAAGCAACUGUUUAUCAAAAACACAGGUCUCUGCUAAAGCGUAAGCUGAUGUAUAGGGGCUGACGCCUGCCCGGUGCUGGAAGGUUAAGGGGAAUAGUUAGCGCAAGCGAAGCUAUGAACUUAAGCCCCAGUAAACGGCGGCCGUAACUAUAACGGUCCUAAGGUAGCGAAAUUCCUUGUCGGGGAAGUUCCGACCCGCACGAAUGGCGUAAUGAUUUGAGCACUGUCUCGGCAAUAAAUCCGGUGAAAUUGUAGUGCAAGUGAAGAUGCUUGCUACCCGCGGUUGGACGGAAAGACCCCGUAGAGCUUUACUGUAGCUUAGCAUUGAAUUUCGGUAUUGUCUGUACAGGAUAGGUGGGAGACUUAGAAGCGAGGGCGUCAGCUUUCGUGGAGUCGUCCUUGGGAUACCACCCUGACAGUACUGGAA
rnacentral:rRNA from 1 species